AUCUAAAUAGUUUAAGAAAAAUAUUGAUUUGUGGGGUCAGGGAUAUAAAAUUUUAUUUUAGAUA
rnacentral:tRNA from 1 species